rnacentral:rRNA from 1 species
AUUGAACGCUGGCGGCAUGCCUUACACAUGCAAGUCGAACGGCAGCACGGGAGCAAUCCUGGUGGCGAGUGGCGAACGGGUGAGUAAUAUAUCGGAACGUGCCCAGUCGUGGGGAUAACGUAGCGAAAGCUACGCUAAUACCGCAUACGAUCUAUGGAUGAAAGCGGGGGAUCGCAAGACCUCGCGCGAUUGGAGCGGCCGAUAUCAGAUUAGGUAGUUGGUGAGGUAAAGGCUCACCAAGCCGACGAUCUGUAGCUGGUCUGAGAGGACGACCAGCCACACUGGGACUGAGACACGGCCCAGACUCCUACGGAGGCAGCAGUGGGGAAUUUUUGGGACAAUGGGCGCAAGCCUGAUCCAGCAAUGCCGCGUGCAGGAUGAAGGCC